AUGGAAGGGGUGCCCAUCGGGAGGAAGGUGGACCUGUCCCGCCACGCCUCCUACCACCAGCUCCACCACACGCUCCGCCUCAUGUUCCCCUCCUCCGCUUCUCACCAUGGUGAUCCAUACGCCGUCGCCUACGAGGACGGGGACGGGGACUGGAUGCUCGUCGGAGACGUGCCGUGGGAGGACUUUAGCCAGUCGGCCAAACGCCUCAAGAUACUCAUGCAACCGACUACACAUGGCAUUACUGGUUGA
rnacentral:rRNA from 1 species